rnacentral:rRNA from 1 species
UAAGGAAUAUUGCUCAAUGGGAGAAAUCCUGAAGCAGCAACGCCGCGUGGAGGAUGAAGGGUCUAUGACUUGUAAACUCCUGUAAAGAAGGAAAAAAUUCCCAUUAGAUGGGAGAUGAUGGUACUUCUGGAGUAAGCCCCGGCUAACUACGUGCCAGCAGCCGCGGUAAUACGUAGGGGGCAAGCGUUGUCCGGAUUUACUGGGUGUAAAGGGUGCUCAGGCGGAUUUGUAAGUCAGAGGUGAAAUCUUACAGCUUAACUGUGAAACUGCCUUUGAUACUGCAAGCCUAGAGUAUGGAAGAGAGUGAUGGAAUAUCUGGUGUAGCAGUGAAAUGUGUAGAUAUCAGAUAGAACACCAAUGGCGAAGGCAGUCACUUGGUCCAUUACUGACGCUAAAGCACGAAAGCGUGGGUAGCAAACA